rnacentral:lncRNA from 1 species
AUGUUUGGAGUAAUGAUUACGUGGGCACAGAAGACAAACUCAUCAAGCAUCUCAAACAAGACAGUCUCUGGGAUUUCAUCUUCCUUUUUGAAGCGACCUGACCUAUCAGGAUCUUCAUUUCCCAACACAUUCUGGAGUUCUGAAGAAGUUCACUGUGACUAUUUUUGCUGCUGUCCAUUGCUUUCGUGGAGGGAUGAAGCUUUGGAGUUUUCUACUCCGCUAUUUUCACAGAUGUCCGUCCAGUGGAGAGAGUGGGUGAUAUGGCUGUGA